rnacentral:rRNA from 1 species
AGAUGAGAUUUCCCAACUUCGGUUAUAAGAUCCCUCAAAGAUGAUGAGGUUAAUAGGUUCGAGGUGGAAGCAUGGUGACAUGUGGAGCUGACGAAUACUAAUCGAUCGAAGACUUAAUCAAAUU